GAAUUCGCCCUUAGAGUUUGAUCCUGGCUCAGAUUGAACGCUGGCGGCAUGCUUUACACAUGCAAGUCGAACGGCAGCACGGGCUUCGGCCUGGUGGCGAGUGGCGAACGGGUGAGUAAUACAUCGGAACGUACCCAGAAGUGGGGGAUAACGUAGCGAAAGUUACGCUAAUACCGCAUACGAUCUACGGAUGAAAGUGGGGGAUCGCAAGACCUCAUGCUUUUGGAGCGGCCGAUGUCUGAUUAGCUAGUUGGUGAGGUAAAGGCUCACCAAGGCGACGAUCAGUAGCUGGUCUGAGAGGACGACCAGCCACACUGGAACUGAGACACGGUCCAGACUCCUACGGGAGGCAGCAGUGGGGAAUUUUGGACAAUGGGCGCAAGCCUGAUCCAGCAAUGCCGCGUGAGUGAAGAAGGCCUUCGGGUUGUAAAGCUCUUUUGUCAGGGAAGAAACGGCCGAGGCUAAUACCUUUGGCUAAUGACGGUACCUGAAGAAUAAGCACCGGCUAACUGCGUGCCAGCAGCCGCGGUAAUACGUAGGGUGCAAGCGUUAAUCGGAAUUACUGGGCGUAAAGCGUGCGCAGGCGGUUUUGUAAGUCUGUCGUGAAAGCCCCGGGCUCAACCUGGGAAUUGCGAUGGAGACUGCAAGGCUUGAAUCUGGCAGAGGGGGGUAGAAUUCCACGUGUAGCAGUGAAAUGCGUAGAGAUGUGGAGGAACACCGAUGGCGAAGGCAGCCCCCUGGGUCAAGAUUGACGCUCAUGCACGAAAGCGUGGGGAGCAAACAGGAUUAGAUACCCUGGUAGUCCACGCCCUAAACGAUGUCUACUAGUUGUCGGGUUUUAAUUAACUUGGUAACGCAGCUAACGCGUGAAGUAGACCGCCUGGGGAGUACGGUCGCAAGAUUAAAACUCAAAUGAAUUGACGGGGGCAAGGGCGAAUUC
rnacentral:rRNA from 1 species